rnacentral:rRNA from 1 species
UACGGGAGGUACGAGCGUUAAUCGGAAUUACUGGGCGUAAAGGGUCCGUAGGUGGCUAUAUAAGUCAGGUGUGAAAUCCCUAGGCUCAACCUAGGAACUGCAUCUGAUACUGUUUAGCUAGAGUUAGGUAGAGGAUUGAGGAAUUUCCGGUGUAGCGGUGAAAUGCGUAGAUAUCGGAAGGAACACCAAUGGCGAAGGCAACAAUCUGGACCUAAACUGACACUGAGGGACGAAAGCAUGGGUAGCAAACAGG